rnacentral:rRNA from 1 species
AAUGAACGCUGGCGGCAUGGAUUAGGCAUGUUUUUCGAACGAUAUCGGGGCUUCGGCCCCGUGAAAGUGGCGUAAGGGUGAGUAACACGUGAGUAAUCUGCCCCCCGAUCCGGAACAAGCACUGGAAACGGUGUCUGAAACCGGAUGAAGACCGGCCCCGCAUGGGACCGCAUCGAAAUAUUCAUAGUCGGAGGAUGAGCUCGCGGCCCAUUAGCUUGUUGGCGGGGUAACGGCCCACCAAGGCUGCGACGGGUAGGUGGUCUGAGAGGAUGGUCACCCACACUGGGACUGAGACACUGCCCAGACUCCUACGGGAGGCUGCAGUCGAGAAUCUUCCGCAAUGGGCGAAAGCCUGACGGAGCGAUGCCGCGUGAGGGACGAAGGUCCUUGGAUCGUAAACCUCUGUCAUCAGGGACGACAAUGACGGUACCUGAGAAGGAAGCCACGGCUAACCACGUGCCAGCAGCCGCGGUAAUACGUGGGUGGCGAGCGUUAUUCGGAUUCACUGGGCGUAAAGGGUCCGCAGGGGGCCCGGCACGCCCGCCGUGAAAGCCCAUGGCUCAACCAUGGGACUGCGGCGGGUACGGCCGGGCUGGAGUGUAUGAUGGGCAGAUGGAAUUCCAGGGGUAGCGGUGGAAUGCGUGGAUAUCUGGAAGAACACCGAUGGCGAAGGCGAUCUGCUGGCAUAUCACUGACCCUCAGGGACGAGAGUGUGGGUAGCGAACAGGAUUAGAUACCCUGGUAGUCCACACCGUAAACGUUGUGUGCCAGAUGUGCCCCGGCCGGCCCGGGGCGUGUCCAAGCCAACGCGGUAAGCACACCGCCUGGGGACUACGGCCGCAAGGCUAAAACUCAAAGGAAUUGACGGGGGCCCGCACAAGCGGUGGAGCAUGUUGCUUAAUUCGAGGCAACGCGAAGAACCUUACCCAGGUUUGACAUGCAGCGGACCGGGUGUGAAAGCACCCUUUCCUUCGGGACCGCUGAACAGAUGCUGCAUGGCUGUCGUCAGCUCGUGCCGUGAGGUGUUCGGUUAAGUCCGGCAACGAGCGCAACCCAUGCCGCCAGUUACCAUCGAGCAAUGUCGGGGACUCUGGCGGGACUGCCCGUGUCAAGCGGGAGGAAGGCGUGGAUGACGUCAAGUCCGUAUGGCUCUUACGCCUGGGGCCGCAAACGUGCUACAAUGGCGGGUACAAUGGGCUGCUGUGCCGCGAGGCACGGCCAAUCUCGAAAACCCGCCCCAGUUCGGAUUGCAGCCUGCAACUCGGCUGCAUGAAGCCGGAAUCGAUAGUAAAGGGGUAUCAGCUACGAUCCCUUGAAUACG